ensembl:lncRNA
UGCAUCAGGGAAGGUUCGGGUUGAACAUUUGGAAAAAUUUCUUCUUGGAGUGGUGAGGCAUUGGAACAGGUUGCCCAAAGAGGUGGUGAAGUCACCAUCCCUGGAGGUGUUUAAGUCCUCUCUCUUGGUGAGAUGCAGAUAGAUAAAUUCAGUAUUCGAGACACAUUUCCUUCUCUGGAAGGAGCAAAACAGACUUCCUGCCCUUCUCUUGGACAACACUAAAUAUGAAGCACACGUACAACAUGUGCAUUUGGAAUUCCCUAACAAUCCAGACCAACUUCUACACUGGUACCAAAUCCUCAACAACAUCUGAAGGAUAGAUUUAACAGACGAUUGAAUGAAGUAGGAAUCCACA